UUAAUUGAAACCAAAAAGAGGUAUAUUACUGUUAAUAAUAUUAAUGAGUUAAACUCCAAUUAAA
rnacentral:tRNA from 1 species